UACAGAGGUGGCAAGCGUUGUUCGGAAUUACUGGGCGUAAAGGGCGCGUAGGCGGAUAGUUUAGUCAGAGGUAAAAGCCCGGGGCUCAACCUCGGAACUGCCUUUAAGACUGCAUCGCUUGAAUCCGGGAGAGGUGAGUGGAAUUCCGAGUGUAGAGGUGAAAUUCGUAGAUAUUCGGAAGAACACCAGUGGCGAAAGGCGGCUCACUGGACUGGUAUUGACGCUGAGGUGCGAAAGCGUGGGGGAGCAAACAGG
rnacentral:rRNA from 1 species